CACUCUGGUGGCCUAGUGAUUAGAGCGUCCGCCUCGGAUGCGGGAGGUCGUGGAUUCGAUCCCCUGUCGAGUCA